rnacentral:ncRNA from 25 species
GGGUGUCUACGCUGCACGUCGCAGUGAGACAGGUUAAUGCGUUGGUCGGGCCGCCAACG